GCUGAACAUCUCCAGCUGGUCGACAAAGACAAUACGUUUCUAUCGAAAACAAUUCAAAGGUAAGCUACACACUGUGCAUACAUACGUUAAGGUCAUGUAUGUGCGCACAUAACACGUAUGACUGUAGUAAACUCGUUGUUUAGGAUGGAUUUUGAUUGCA